CUCAUCCGUGUGUUUCCCUGCUGCCCAAUCGUCAUCUGUUUUCUGCUCGCUGUUAUUCGUGUUCAGGUCAGGACCAGCUGUGCACUGCAGGAUGGCACGCAGCGAAGCCACAAGAACCUCCGGUGAACCUGUGGUCGGGAGAUUCUUCUCUCCCACCUACCUGCGUCAAGAGCUUGAAACCUAGGGUAAACACAGCCUCUGGAUAACCUGAGCUACAUUUCCAGGCAGCUGUGUGAAAGAUUACAACUAUGGGGUAGAAGAGAAAGACAAAAGUGUGGGAUGAGCGAAAAGUGAGAGAAUGGGAAGAGAUGGUGGGCAGCAGGUGGAGGUGAUUACUGCUCCCAGGUCACAUCCCUCAGCCAUGCUCCAAUUCCUUCACUCACUUUAACCUCUGCAGAUGGACACCUGUGAGAUGUGGUCCAGAACAAGAACUCAAACUAGCCUGCUAACAUCCUGAAAUAUGUGGAGUCAGGGGCAAACCAUGAAAUUCUCCCUGCUGCCUUCUGCUGAGAAUUGGAUGAACCCAGAAUCUCCCUUUCUUCCUUAUCUUGAUUAGAAACAUCAGGAUCAGCUCAUUUUCACUUGAUGUCAGUUUUUUUUUCACACUGCAUUUUUUUUUUUUUUUUGUUUUUUACACAACAACUUUGGAUCUGAAUAAGAUUUUUUUUCACAACACGCUCAGCUUCCAAUGGCCUUAAACACACAAGCUCUGUAUCAUGAUUGCAAUGUCAUGAGCGCAAAUGGAAUAAUUACCAAAAAAAGUCAGUUAAAAAGAGCUAUCUGAUGAAAGUAAGUUGUAAAAAGUAACGCUCAUGGAGGAAUAAUUACCCAUUUUCUUAGUUUUUACUAGUUUCCAUGAGCUUAAAUAUAGCAUACCAGUCAAAAACUGUACAUAAAAGAUGUCAUGUUCUGGACUAUAUUAUACAGUUGUGGACUAUGCCUUUUUGUAGCAUCGGUUUUAGCAUUUUAGCUGUUGCAUGUUUUGUUUUGGUUUUUUUAGAACAAGGCAAGACAGUGUUUGGACUAGAGGAUAGAGUGCUAAGUUAUCAGCUAAUACUGUUAUGGUUCUGCAUCGUUAGACCCAGCGUUUUGUGUUUAAUAUUGGUAUCAUCUUAUGUUUCGGGUUAAAUCUUGUUUUUAGGGUUUUGUAUUUAGUGUUUUCUAUACCUACCUGUGUCCUCCCCCAGUGCUCUGUUCAUGUCCCUGAGUUUGUGUUUGUGAAUUUCCUGUUUUACUUUGAAGGUCUGUGUCUCUCGUGUCUAAUUAGGUUCAGCUGUGCGUCCCUCCUGUGUGUCUUUUCCUGAUUACCUUGUGUAUUUAUAGUGUGUCUACCUCUGCUCGUCGUCGGUUCGUCUGUGUAUCUCCGUGUCUGUCUGCCCAACAUCCUCAGUCCGUCUUUUUCCCCGUAUACUAUGGUUUCAGGUUUGGUUUCUAGUUUUCUCAAUUAAGUGUAUUUCUAAGUUACAUUCUUGCCAUCCCCGCUUCUGUUUCUCAUCAUUCACUGUAAAUAAAACUCACUCGCAUCAC